rnacentral:rRNA from 1 species
UACGUAGGGUGCGAGCGUUAAUCGGAAUUACUGGGCGUAAAGCGUGCGCAGGCGGUUAUGUAAGACAGGUGUGAAAUCCCCGGGCUUAACCUGGGAACUGCAUUUGUGACUGCAUAGCUAGAGUACGGUAGAGGGGGAUGGAAUUCCGCGUGUAGCAGUGAAAUGCGUAGAUAUGCGGAGGAACACCGAUGGCGAAGGCAACUCCCCGUGGACCUGUACUGACGCUCAUGACGACGAAAGGCGUGGGGAAGCAAACGAGG